CAGGCGCGAAAACUUUACAAUGCGGGCAACCGUGGUAAGGGAACCUCGAGUGCCUGUAUCUGCAGGCUGUCCAGGUGUCUAAAACACACCUGAAGAAAGGGCCGGGCAAGACCGGUGCCAGCCGCCGCGGUAAUACCGGCGGCUCGAGUGGUGGCCACUUUUAUUGGGCUUAAAGCGUUCGUAGCUGGGUUGUUAAGUCUCUUGGGAAAUCCGGCAGCUUAACUGUCGGGCGUCUAAGAGAUACUGGCAAUCUUGGAACCGGGAGAGGUGAGGGGUACUUCGGGGGUAGGAGUGGAAUCCUGUAAUCCUCGAGGGACCACCUGUGGCGAAGGCGCCUCACCAGAACGGCUUCGACAGUGAGGGACGAAAGCUGGGGGAGCAAACCGGAUUAGAUACCCGGGUAGUCCCAGCCGUAAACGAUGUGCGUUAGGUGUAUCGAUGACCACGAGUCAUCGAGGUGCCGAAGGGAAACCGUGAAACGUACCGCCUGGGAAGUACGGUCGCAAGGCUGAAACUUAAAGGAAUUGGCGGGGGAGCACCACAACAGGUGGAGCCUGCGGUUUAAUUGGACUCAACGCCGGGAAGCUCACCGGAUAAGACAGCUGGAUGAUUGCCGGGCUGAAGACUCUGCAUGACUAGCUGAGAGGAGGUGCAUGGCCGUCGUCAGUUCGUACUGUGAAGCAU
rnacentral:rRNA from 1 species